rnacentral:lncRNA from 1 species
CUGAGCCUGAGCAGAGCGUGAUCUGAAGAGCUGUGUGCAAACCUCCUCAUCACUCACACCAUCACAUUUUACUCCAAGUGGGUUCCUUCUCAUGGUGUUCUAUGCCAUGCACGCUGAGGAAAGCUUUCCAGGAUGUCAAUAGCAGAUGAGAACAUCAGAGGUAAAGUCUGGAGGAGAAAUGAUCACGCACACUGCAGAGCUUCAUGAAGGUGAAACACAAUCGUAAGUCACCAGGGAUCCACCUCCCAAGACCUACC